rnacentral:rRNA from 1 species
GUAGGUGGCAAGCGUUGUCCGGAAUUAUUGGGCGUAAAGCGCGCGCAGGCGGUUCUUUAAGUCUGAUGUGAAGGCCCACGGCUCAACCGUGGAGGGUCAUUGGAAACUGGAGAACUUGAGUACAGAAGAGGAAAGCGGAAUUCCACGUGUAGCGGUGAAAUGCGUAGAGAUGUGGAGGAACACCAGUGGCGAAGGCGGCUUUCUGGUCUGUAACUGACGCUGAGGCGCGAAAGCGUGGGGAGCAAACAGGGAUUAGAUACCCUGGUAGUCCACGCCGUAAACGAUGAGUGCUAAGUGUUAGGGGGUUUCCCGCCCCUUAGUGCUGCAGCUAACGCAUUAAGCACUCCGCCUGGGGAGUACGGCCGCAAGGCUG